rnacentral:ncRNA from 1 species
ACCCCAAGCCAGAAGAUGGAAAAUAAUCAAGGAACAACAAGGUCCAUGUCAAUGGACCAAAGUAUCAAAUUUUCACUGACCUGGUGAGGCAGGGGGGAGGGGGGGCGAGCGAGGGGCCCUCCCUUCUGGCGCCAAGCACCUGGCAGCCGCACGGCGCGACCUGCUCUGGAGACAUUGUCAGGUGGGGAGUUUGACUGAGGAGGUACGCCUGUCAAACCCUAACGCAGGUGUCCUAAGGCGAGCUCAGGGAGGACAGAAACCUCCCGUGGAGCAGAAGGGCAAAACCUCGUUUGAUCUUUAUUUUCAGUAUGAAUACAGACUGUGAAAGCGGGGCCUUAUGAUCCUUCUGACCUUUGGGGUUUUAAGCAGGAGGUGUCAGAA